rnacentral:rRNA from 1 species
CUAUGCGCCUUGCCAGCCCGCUCAGUCAGAGUUUGAUCCUGGCUCAGAGCGAACGCUGGCGGCGUGCUUAACACAUGCAAGUCGAGCGAGAAAGGGGGCUUCGGCCCCUGAGUACAGCGGCGAACGGGUGCGUAAUACAUGAGCAAUCUAUCCUCGAGGCGGGAAUAACCCAGCGAAAGUUGGGCUAAUACCGGAUGAGACCACAGGAGGAAACUCCCGGGGUCAAAGGCAGCUUUCUUUUGGGAGCGGCCCUUCGAAGAGGAGCUCAUGUCCUAUCAGCUAGUUGGUAGGUAACGCUACCAAGGCGAAGACGGGUAGCUGGUCUUAGAGGAUGAUCAGCCACACGGGGACUGAGACACGGCCCCG